rnacentral:lncRNA from 1 species
UAUGAGGAGUGCCCUGCAUUCAUUAGAGGAAUGGCAAGCCUGCGUGGCUCUUGACGUAGACAAAAUUAACAAGGAUCAAGAGGAGCUAGUCGACCAAGACCCACCAUGCCGCAGACUGAGGCAGGAGCUGCUAGAGGUGGAGGAGCA